rnacentral:rRNA from 1 species
GCAGUGGGGAAUAUUGCACAAUGGGCGCAAGCCUGAUGCAGCAACGCCGCGUGAGGGACGACGGCCUUCGGGUUGUAAACCUCUUUUAGCAGGGAAGAAGCGAAAGUGACGGUACCUGCAGAAAAAGCGCCGGCUAACUACGUGCCAGCAGCCGCGGUAAUACGUAGGGCGCAAGCGUUAUCCGGAAUUAUUGGGCGUAAAGAGCUCGUAGGCGGUUUGUCGCGUCUGCUGUGAAAUCCGGAGGCUCAACCUCCGGCCUGCAGUGGGUACGGGCAGACUAGAGUGCGGUAGGGGAGAUUGGAAUUCCUGGUGUAGCGGUGGAAUGCGCAGAUAUCAGGAGGAACACCGAUGGCGAAGGCAGAUCUCUGGGCCGUAACUGACGCUGAGGAGCGAAAGGGUGGGGAGCAAACAGGCUUAGAUACCCUGGUAGUCCACCCCGUAAACGUUGGGAACUAGUUGUGGGGUCCAUUCCACGGAUUCCGUGACGCAGCUAACGCAUUAAGUUCCCCGCCUGGGGAGUACGGCCGCAAGGCUAAAACUCAAAGGAAUUGACGGGGACCCGCACAAGCGGCGGAGCAUGCGGAUUAAUUCGAUGCAACGCGAAGAACCUUACCAAGGCUUGACAUAUACGAGAACGGGCCAGAAAUGGUCAACUCUUGGAC